rnacentral:rRNA from 1 species
CAGGCCUAACACAUGCAAGUCGAACGGUAGCACAGAGAGCUUGCUCUUCGAUUCAGCGGCGGACGGGUGAAUAAUGCCUAAGAAUCUGCCUGAUAGUGGGGGACAACGUCUCGAAGGGGACGCUAAUACCGUAUACGUCCUACGGGAGAAAGCAGGGGACCUUCGGGCCUUGCGCUAUCAUAUGAGCCUAUGUCGGAUUAUCUUGUUGGUGAUGUAGUGGCUCACCAGGGCGACGAUCCGUAACUGGUCUGAGAGGAUGAUCAGUCACACUGGAACUGACACACGGUCCACACUCCUACGGGAGGCAGCAGUGGGGAAUAUUGGACAAUGGGCGAAAGCCUGAUCCACCCAUGCCGUGUGUGUGAAGAGUGUCUUCGUAUUGUAAAGCACUUUAAGUUGG